rnacentral:sRNA from 1 species
ACUUUUUUUCUUCUUCUU